rnacentral:rRNA from 1 species
UACGUAGGCAGCGAGCGUUUGUUCGGAGUUACUGGGCGUAAAGGGUGUGUAGGCGGUUGUUUAAGUUUGGUGUGAAAUCUCCCGGCUCAACUGGGAGGUGCGCCGAAUACUGAAUGACUUCGAGUGCGGGAGAGGAGAGUGGAAUUCCUGGUGUAGCGGUGAAAUGCGUAGAUAUCAGGAGGAACACCGGUGGUGUAGACGGCUCUCUGGACCGUAACUGACGCUGAGACACGAAAGCGUGGGUAGCAAACAGG